AUGAUGCUCAUGGACAGCUUAUCUCUUAUUGGAUUUCCUUUUCUAACAGGAUUUUAUUCUAAAGAUGUGAUCUUAGAGCUCGCUUACACAAAGUAUACCAUCAGUGGGAACUUUGCUUUCUGGUUGGGAAGUGUCUCUGUCCUUUUCACUUCUUAUUACUCCUUUCGUUUACUAUUUCUAACAUUUCUAGUACCAACUAAUUCAUUUGGGUGA
rnacentral:rRNA from 1 species